ensembl:lncRNA
CCCCUUUAAUAAGCUCAUCAAAAUAGCUGUCUUUAUAAAUCUUUGUUUUCAUCCUGAAGUCGUGCUUGGAAGUAGGAGGCGGUCAGAGAGAGAGAGAGAGAGAGAGAGAGAGAGAGAGAGAGAGAGAGACAGACAGACAGAGAGAGAGAGAGAGAGAGAGAGAGAGAGAGAGAGAGAGAGAGAUGCCCUAUCAGUCGCUGGCUUCGCACAAAAUGCUGAAUAUUCAAUGACCUAUCACCUAAAACAGCAGAGGGAUACGUCAAAACCACAGCGCUUCAUUCAGCUUCAGAGGGAGGAAGCUCAGUCGUGAAAGGAGUCGCUGCCGAGAGGACAGGCUCUAUUCCCUCAGUCAACACUCAGUCGGUCAUUACGAAAGUUUUUUUACUUUUAAGCAAACGGACGCACACACGGCUCGCGUUUGUGAAGGACGGCAUGGACGGGCUCCUCGUAUCGUAUGCAAAUACCGCUGCUGACGUCGCUGGUCAUGUGGCUUUUGGCGUAGAUCCCCCUGCGCUCGCGGAUUUUUUUUCGGCCGUUGUCUUUAGGGUUCGGUUCGAAUCUUACGGUUACCGAACCGAGCCGCUCCUCCUCCGCUCGGAAAAAGGGGGCACUUUCAGGACAAGGCUGCUCGCACCGUCGCCCCACACUCCACCAUACGUGGUCGGACAGGUGCAGAACAGGACGUUCUCUCGAAGGAAAAGUGGUGGAGAAGCAAAAGCUUCUACACCAUUACCUUAACCCACACCCUGUUCUCAGGGGAGACCAUCUCUGACUGAUCGUGUGGCCUGGGAUGCAGUCUCAUGAAGUCGCCCACUGCAGCUGACAUUAAAAGUCAGCAGAAAUAUUCACCUUUAUUCUUCAGACAAAGGUCCACCCAUCAUUCAUCAACAGUCCUCCAUCAAGGUUGCAC